rnacentral:rRNA from 1 species
AUUGAACGCUGGCGGCAGGCCUAACACAUGCAAGUCGAACGAGUGGCGGACGGGUGAGUAAUGUCUGGGAAACUGCCCGAUGGAGGGGGAUAACUACUGGAAACGGUAUCUAAUACCGCAUACAAUCGGAUGUGCCCAGAUGGGAUUUGUUAGUAGGUGGGGUAACGGCUCACCUAGGCGACGAUCCCUAUCUGGUCUGAGAGGAUGACCAGCCCCACUUGAACUCAGACACGGUCCGGACUCCUACGGUGAGCAGCAGUGGGGAAUAUUGCACAAUGGGCGCAAGCCUGAUACAGCCAUGCCGCGUGUAUGAAGAAGGCCUUCGGGUUGUAAAGUACUUUCAGCGAGGAGGCGUUACUCGCAGAAGAAGCACCGGCUAACUCCGUGCCAGCAGCCGCGGUAAUUC